UACAGAGGUCCCAAGCGUUGUUCGGAUUCACUGGGCGUAAAGGGUGCGUAGGUGGUGAGGUAAGUCGGAUGUGAAAGCUCGGAGCUCAACUCCGAAAUGGCAUUGGAAACUACCUUGCUCGAGGGUUGGAGGGGGGACGUGGAAUACUUGGUGUAGCAGUGAAAUGCGUAGAUAUCAAGUGGAACACCAGUGGCGAAGGCGAGUCCCUGGACAACUCCUGACACUGAGGCACGAAAGCUAGGGGAGCAAACAGG
rnacentral:rRNA from 1 species